rfam:Gallus gallus isolate RJF #256 breed Red Jungle fowl, inbred line TCD001 chromosome 26, whole genome shotgun sequence.
CCCAGCUAUGGUGACAUGGUGCCCAAGACCAUCGCCGGGAAGAUCUUCGGCUCCAUCUGCUCGCUGAGCGGGGUGCUGGUCAUCGCCCUGCCAGUUCCUGUAAUUGUCUCCAAC